GGGGAAGGGAAGGUGACUGUGCCUCGAGGGCCGAGCCGCCCGGCCUUGCCAGCCAGCCGCCGCCUCAGCGUUCGGCCGGGGGCGGGGCCGCAGGUCAGCUUGGAAGAAGUGAUCACCAAGAGACACCCAAGAUCUUGUUUAGGCAACAAAUGAAUGAAGACCAUGGAUUAAGAACUGUUGCUGGAUGUGUAGAAUAUUAAAAGGUGGAAAAGGAAGGUGCUCAUAACUCCUGGUUUUCUGGACCAAACAUAAUUUAUGGGCUUUAUAGACCUAGUGAAAGAGAACGGCGCACGGUUUAUUCUAAUCGUCCACCUGAGUCAUUUGGUUCGGUUUGGGUUGCCAAGGAGGCUCUAACUGGAGCACUUUCUCCAGGUUUUUCGGCGUGUUUGCCUUGGGUAUUUUUGAAUCACAUUAAGUUUUAAGAGACCUUAAAGCCCUGAUGCCCACUGGGUUACCGACUUACGGCACUAAGUUGGCUGCCUGUGGCUGUUAAUAAACCACGGGGAUUGUUGUCAACAAGGACAGAUACAUCCUUACCUUUCCACACGACUGUAUUUUAGUGUUUGUUUCUACAUGUCUGCACUCUUCCCCACACACCUCAAGGUAGUUUUUCUGGAUACAUGUGUUUAUUUUUCAGGAACAGGAGUUCAAAGGAGAGAUAAGCCAGUAUGUAUGUUGCAAAGUUAAAAUACUGUUGCAUAAUAGCAAUACAGUUUCAUUCUUAGACAUAUGAAGUUGAGGAGGAAAUAAAAAGUGACAAUGUAAAUAAAACACAUACAGAAUGCUUACACUGGGGAAGAAGCUGUAGUAACUUUAAUAUUGCAACCUGAUGGAUUGCAAGUGUAAAGCCCUG
rnacentral:lncRNA from 1 species